UUGAAGCGACACAAAAUCUUUCAAUGAAACUGAAUAUGACACAAAAGAUGAAGUCCAAUCCCCAUGAGGGAAAAUUAGCAAAUAGUUUUUCUCCAAAUAUACAAAUGGCGAAAAGUCAACAGAAUAAGAAGAAGAAAUCUGUUGCAAAUACAAUAAACGAUAAUCUUUCCAAUCAAAUUAGUAGCAAAAGACAAAAGUUUAAUGAGAAAUCAGUGCUUCCCCAUCCAAUUCGCAAAGGGAAGAGCGUGUUGGAUAAUAUUACAGAUCAGACGAAUGUUGAUUAGGUGAGUUCUGAUUUCAAGCUGGACUUAGAUUGAUUAGGUCGGUAAUUUUAAAUUUUUGAAAACUUAUUUUAACCUAUAACGUAGUAUUAUAUUGUUGCCAUUCAACCAAUAACAACAAUAAUAACAACUAUCAAAACUAUAUUAACAAAAUUUAUGGAGUUUCAAAAAGGCCAACAACUAAACUUUCACAAGUUAAAACUUCACAUCAUUCAAUGAGUGCUAUGUACAUCUCCAUUUCCACUUCUAGAAGCUUCAUCGUCGGCAUGAUUCGAAGGAUCACAACGAAAAGGAUUAGCAUUUGGGUAAGACUCACGAGACCGGAGAAUCGGGAAAGCACCAUUAGCAAGAAGAUUGGUCAGACCUUGAAGGACAUUAAUUACACUUACAUAUAUAUGACAAGCAUUGAUGCUUUAAUUUAUUCUCAAUAGUUCAUUACAGCGCUCGAAUGCUUGAUCGGUGAAUAAAUAAGAAAACAAAUCUUGAAGUUUAA